UACGGAGGAUCCUAGUGUUAUCCGGAUUUAUUGGGUUUAAAGGGAGCGUAGGCGGGAGGUCAAGUCAGCUGUGAAAUGUAUCUGCUUAACGGGUACACUGCAGUUGAAACUGGUUUUCUUGAGUGCGUAAGAGGCAGGCGGAAUUCGUUGUGUAGCGGUGGAAUGCGCAGAUAUCAGGAGGAACACCGAUGGCGAAGGCAGGUCUCUGGGCCACUACUGACGCUGAGGAGCGAAAGCAUGGGUAGCGAACAGGAUUAGA
rnacentral:rRNA from 1 species